rnacentral:rRNA from 1 species
CCUACGGGGGGCAGCAGUGGGGAAUAUUGGACAAUGGGCGAAAGCCUGAUCCAGCCAUGCCGCGUGUGUGAAGAAGGCCUUCGGGUUGUAAAGCACUUUCAGUGGGGAAGAAAGCCUUGGGGCUAAUACCCUCGAGAAAGGACAUCACCCACAGAAGAAGCACCGGCUAACUCCGUGCCAGCAGCCGCGGUAAUACGGAGGGUGCGAGCGUUAAUCGGAAUUACUGGGCGUAAAGCGCGCGUAGGCGGUCUGAUAAGCCGGUUGUGAAAGCCCCGGGCUCAACCUGGGAACGGCAUCCGGAACUGUCAGGCUAGAGUGCAGGAGAGGAAGGUAGAAUUCCCGGUGUAGCGGUGAAAUGCGUAGAGAUCGGGAGGAAUACCAGUGGCGAAGGCGGCCUUCUGGACUGACACUGACGCUGAGGUGCGAAAGCGUGGGUAGCAAACAGGAUUACAUACCCGAGUAGUC